AUCUGGGAGGCCACAAACCAUGGAAGCUGUACGCAUGGUGUAGUGGACUAGCGGUUAGAGGAGACCCCUCCCUUGCAAAUCGCAGCAACAAUGGGGGCCCAAGGUGAGAUGAAGCUGUAGUCUCACUGGAAGGACUAGAGG
rnacentral:lncRNA from 1 species